rnacentral:rRNA from 1 species
UGGGGAAUUUUGGACAAUGGGGGCAACCCUGAUCCAGCCAUGCCGCGUGAGUGAAGAAGGCCUUCGGGUUGUAAAGCUCUUUCAGACGGAAAGAAACGGUUACAGAUAACACCUGUGACUAAUGACGGUACCGUCAGAAGAAGCACCGGCUAACUACGUGCCAGCAGCCGCGAUAAUACGUAGGGUGCGAGCGUUAAUCGGAAUUACUGGGCGUAAAGCGUGCGCAGGCGGUUUUGUAAGACAGACGUGAAAUCCCCGGGCUUAACCUGGGAGCUGCGUUUGUGACUGCAAGGCUAGAGUACGGCAGAGGGGGGUAGAAUUCCACGUGUAGCAGUGAAAUGCGUAGAUAUUAGGAGGAACACCGGUGGCGAAGGCGGCUACCUGGACCGAUAUUGACGCUGAGACGCGAAAGCGUGGGUAGCAAACAGGAUUAGAUACCCUGGUAGUCCACGCCGUAAACGAUGAGAACUAGGUGUUGCGGGUAUUGACCCCUGCAGUGCCGCAGCUAACGCAUUAAGUUCUCCGCCUGGGAAGUACGGUCGCAAGACUA